AUUGAACGCUGGCGGCAGGCCUAACACAUGCAAGUCGAGCGGCUGCAGGGAGCUUGCCCCUGCGUUCAGCGGCGGACGGGUGAGUAAUGCCUAGGAACCUGCCUGGUAGUGGGGGAUAGCGUCCCGAAAGGGGCGCUAAUACCGCAUACGUCCUGAGGGAGAAAGUGGGGGAUCUUCGGACCUCACGCUAUCGGAUGAGCCUAGGUCGGAUUAGCUAGUUGGUGGGGUAAAGGCCUACCAAGGCGACGAUCCGUAACUGGUCUGAGAGGAUGAUCAGUCACACUGGAACUGAGACACGGUCCAGACUCCUACGGGAGGCAGCAGUGGGGAAUAUUGGACAAUGGGCGAAAGCCUGAUCCAGCCAUGCCGCGUGUGUGAAGAAGGUCUUCGGAUUGUAAAGCACUUUAAGUUGGGAGGAAGGGCAGUAAGUUAAUACCUUGCUGUGUUGACGGUACCAACAGAAUAAGCACCGGCUAACUUCGUG
rnacentral:rRNA from 1 species